AACACAUCCAGCCUCAGACUCAGCAACUAUACCCCAGACCAUUUGCAUCAUGCUUGGAGUAUACUGUUAGAAUACAGAAAGGCAGCUGUGUAAAGAAAUAAGGGUCAUGAAAUCUGAUGAAGAGUUAUGAGGUCAUAUACAAGAAGGUGGGAAAAUAAGGAGAUCAUCAGAAAAAAAAAAGACUCAGAAGAAAACUAGUGGUUUUUGUUGCUGUUUUGUGUUGUUUUUAUCAACUCUGUGCCAGCCACUCUGACAAUUCACAGAUGCCAUCUCAUUUGUAAAACCAUCUCAUCUGUAAACCAUCAGAGUUGAUCUUCUAUUAUUCUCAUUUUAUAUGCUUGGAAAUUAAUACUGAAAAUUUGGACUGGGUAUCCAAGGCAAGACACCUAACUAGAUGCCACCAGGAAGAACAUCUCCCACAAAAACAGACCAAAAUAUCCAGUAAAUCAGCAUACUCAGAACAGAUCAUCUGAAGGAAUGAACUAAAAGAGAUUAGAAAGACAACCCAGACACCAGGAUGAAAGGGAGAGGAAGCUGGGAAUCCUUCUUGGGGUUGCUGAAUAUGGGACAUGUUCCAGGCCCUGAAUGGCUCUGAGUUACGUCCCUGGACUUUGGGACUCAUUCUGCUCGACUUGAUCCCUGCUCUGCCCAUUGAUCACAUACACACGUUUACACCUGGCAGAAGAGGAAGAGGAGGCAUGAAGGAAUGGCCUCUUCAGAAUGGAGAAAAGCCUUCCCCAUGAGAACAUGCCUAAGACAGACUGCUGAAGAAGGCGGCAAAUGGAACAGCGCUGAAUCAGCCUGGUCAUCCCAGUCAAGCCUCCAGACAUGUAAGCACCCUCCUCUGAUCUGCAGAGCUGCCUGGCCCAAAUACUGUUGACCACUCUUGAGUAAGCCCCACCAAGAUCAGCUGAGAACAGUAGAACUGACCAGAUGACUCUAACCUCAUGAAUAAAUCCAAGUGUUUUU
rnacentral:lncRNA from 1 species